UGCAUGUAUUCACACUCUCUCACACAAACACACACACCACGAAAACACACACCUCCACUCCCAGCCUAUCCUUGGCCUAGAGCAGAGGUAGAGGUAGAGUGAUGUUUCUAAAGGAAAACAGAACAUUAGCUUCAUUGGCAUCUGCCAAGAGGCUGACAGAGGAAAUGCUGUCACAACGUUGUAAAGAUGUACCUGAGACACCACCAGCCCUCACAGUCUGACAGCACAGCAUCACUCACCAUGUGUGUGUGUGUGUGUGUGUGUGUGUGUGUGUGUGUGUGUGUGUGUGUGUGUGUGUGUGUGUGUGUGUGUGUGUGUGUGUGUGUGUGUGUGUGUGUGUGUGUGUGUGUGUGUGUGUGUCAGGCCAUCAUCAUUCCCCCUGUCUUCCUCCUAGAAGUGGCCGUCACAGCCAAUAACCCAGGCCUCUCUGUCACUGAGGACUGUGGGUGCCAUGUGAACGAGCCAGAUGCACAGUCGAGAGUGCCUGCAGAGGAUGAGAGAGACAUCUGGAGAGGAGUUCAUGUGGACCUGAUAAAAGGAGAGGAGAUGAGGAGAGGAUGCCACAUUCGACUAUUGAGAUGCAGACAUUAGCAUCCUGCCAGACUGAGACAGCCCGGUUGGUGACCUAGGCCAGUAUCUACAAAGCAUCUCA